GGAUUCACUGAUGGAAGUGAAUAACUUCACCGUGCUUCUGCAAAUGCAUGCAAAUCUAACGAAAAUGUUUUCCCUCUCCAGUUUUCAGCAGUAAGUUUCCUGCCAGAGCUGCCUACCAAGUCGCUGCUCUCCCCAGAGGUGGGCUGGUGGAAAUCGAGGCGAUCGCUGUUCUCGGUCCUCUCUCCGACUCCUGACUAGCCGGCCGCAUAACUAACAAGCUGUAGCGCCACCAAGUGUCAUUAUAGAUUCACUGUGGAAGCCUGAUUGUAUUUCCAGAGAACACCUGAAGAGCCACAUUGAAUUUCAACAUAGUCUUUUUCAGUGUUUCAAGAUUUAAAUUUCCAACAGAGCAACAUUCAGUUGUUAAUACCUCACAGCCUGCUCAUUAAACGGAGAGUAGGGAUACAGUAGGACUGGACACAACAUCAAGCCUCUUGGCUUCUGGUUUGAUAACUUCACUCAUUUAAAAAAAAGGAAAAAUGCUGUAACACAUCAGUGUGACAUGUUUGCUUUCAUCCUGCAUCAAAUUAAAACACAGAGAAUAUGU